AAUUAAAAGCAAGAAGGAGGAGAGUGACGGGUCUGGCCCUGCAUGGAAGGGGCGGCCGUUCUUCAAAUCCACAAAUACUUCCAUUAUCUCUACUCUGAAGCGAACCCCCGAAAAGAAAAGGCGGUGUUCUUCCUGUUGCUGUUUUGUUGAGUUCGUCUUUGAAAAUUGAUCGCAAAGUUGCCUUUUAUGCCUUACCCCCUUUUUCAUUAAAGCUUGAUCGGGGAUUGUGUUUGUUUGAUUCUUCUGCGCUUUCAUGGCGUAUAACCUAGUUUAUCCUUAAUACCUCCGUUUCUCCCUUUCUUUAUUCCUUCUUCUUUCAUUAUAUUUCCCUCUUUUCAUAAUCAACAGCCUUGUUCGUUUCUGGGUCUCUCCUGUUUCACAGUAUUUGUAUGAAGCUGAAGAAUCUGAUGGAAAACAAGCAAUUGGAUUUCAAUCAGCCGUUUCUUUCUGUGAGGCGGGUUUCGUCGAUGGAAAUGUCGUUGAAAGCUAACGAAACAGUGAUAACGGAGAAUCGCUGGCCGCCUCUUCCUGUCUACAAGUCGGAAUUGAAAUCAGGUCCAGUGAGUAAUCCGGGGAAUGUUCCUUUUCUAUGGGAACAUGCCCCAGGAAGGCCCAAAGAUGGAAGAAAAUCACUAACCAUAGGUUCUAAAUCGCCGUUGGCUGCUCCGAAACACCCUUCUGGGAUGUCGUCGGGUUCAGAACAACAGCAUUGUAACAGCAAAGAGUCAACAAGUGGAGGAGAAGCACUUCCAAAUUCUGACCAUUCCCCUGCUCAUAAGAACAUCGUUAAGUUUAAGACCUUGAGGGAGAGGAUCGAGAGAGAUUUAAGUUCUGAUUCGGAGGACGGAGACGAGACUUAUCUCGAUGCAAAUGGCACCAUUUCUAGAUCCGAGUCAUUUUCCAUGAACUGCAGUGUAACUGGUUUGAGUGGACUGGAUGGUGGUGAUGUUAAACCAUCGGGAUCGUUCUCGAAAGAUCAGCGAACUCACGACAUAAUGAUGGGACGAUUCCUGCCUGCUGCCAAGGCAAUGGCUUCAGAAACACCUCAAGUUGCUCAUAGAAAGCAAAGUGUUCAAAGAGAGCACCGAAAAGAGGCAAAGAAGUUGAUUAGAAUGGGUAAGGAACAUCGAGUAAAUUCACUUCCACCGGUGUUGCCAUCAUAUUAUGUGCCUCCGAAUCCACACGACGUUGAAGAAAUAAGCGAAGACGAUGAUAUUAGCCUCGACGAAUCUGAGUACUCAUCUACUAAAUCUUGUGGUUUGUUCGCUCGAUUUUGCCUUCUACACCCAGUUCCCGGAAUGAGAACGCAAAGCGCCUCUGUCGCUUCAGCUCCUCGAGUUCAGAAUGAUUAUUUGACUGAUGGUUCUUGCAGCAGCAUUAAGAAUCUUAGGAACGAGGAAAAACCGCUCGAUGCGAACCAGAUGGUUGAGAGCACGCCAAACGACUCGAGAAGGCGAUACAAAUCUCACCUUUCUGAAGAAAAAGUUUUCCCCAGUGACCCAGUAGGAGUUAAGAGUUCCAUACAUAGAAGAGCAGGAACCAAAUUUCGUGAAUUGUUAGCCAACGAAUCGUCUUCGGUGAGCCCCUUUGUCAUCGAGAAAACGUCGCUCGUAGAUUCCGUUCACAAUAUGAAGUCUCGGAGUUCAAAUUCAAGCUCUAAAGAGAAUCUUCAUUUGGAUUCUUCCCCUCAACAUGUCCAGCCAUUAAAUGUUGAAGGUGAAAACAAGAGGUUGAGCUCUACGAGUAUCGACUCGAUGGAUUUGUGUUCAUCUUAUUACGAUAUGAAAGCGAACUUGAAGGCGACACGGUUGGACGUAGAUCUAAUCCAUGAUGCAAAAGUGACAGAUGAAAGAACAAUUGAUUCUGAAUGUGAUCAUCAUAAAAAAUCAAGUCAAGGAGAAAGCUCAGAUGACUCUUUUCAGGAUUUUGUCUCAUUUACGAGUUCAGAAGCUUCGAAGCUACGUUUAGAAGGCCACGACCAGGAUUCAAUCACAUCGACAAGCUCAAGAGCCACGGCGCGAGGCAAAAUCGAUCUCGAAAGCACUCGUCGAUCAAAAAGAUCCUUGUCCAUUUCUUCACAGCUUGCACUUGCUCCACCUCUACCAAAAUCUCCAUCCGAGUCCUGGCUUAAGCGCACGUUGCCAACCGUUUCGUCGAGAAACUCGAUGCCAAAGUCUAGGCUGGAUGCUCGUGUUUACUCUACAAGGCAAACCAACACUGUAUUCUGAUGUCAUGGCAUUGGUCAUGAAGAAUAAAAAACAUAUUUUAGUCCUCGUAUUCUUAUGUUUUUUAGGGACGGGAAAGCGUUCUC